AAAAAAAAAGGAAGAACUUUGAGGGACGAUGUUCAAAAAUAAGAACAUUUUGAGUCCAGCAUGUCGUCAACAUUCCCAUCCCAUUUUUGUCAUUUUUCAGUUUGGUUUAGGUUAAACUGUCCUUUUUGUUCACACGGAUUACAUAAAAUAUUACAAAUAAUUUGUGGCAUUUUAUCAAAAUCUGAACAUUCUACACUUUUAGUGAUAUUUUAAAGGGAUAGUUCACCCAGAAAUGGAAAUUGUCAUAAUUUACCCUCAAAUUAUGUAUGAGUUACUUUCUUCUGUUGUACACCAAAGAAGAUAUUUAAAAAAAUGUUGACGGUACCCAUUGACUAUUUUUGGGUGAACUAUCCCUUGAAUACUUUCAUUAAUGAUAAUAUCAAUUUCAUGCUAGUCCUAAAACAGGGUUGAAUAAAGUUCCCGCAGGCCUUCUCUAUUUUAUUCGUCCCAUUUUUGUGGGCCUUUCUUGUUGUAUCGCUUGUAUUCAUUUGAGGCGGGAACAAAGCUUUGGAUGGUUUAAGGCAGAAAUACGGCUUAUAUCAGGGUACUAUUCAAUCGUGAGACAUUUUAAAGUCUAAAAAAACAAAAAGACAAUAAUUGAAUCAAGUAUGCGGCCAUUCAUUGAAAUGAAGAACUACAGAUUUGACUACAGGUACACAUUUUUUUGUUACGCUAAACACCCAUGUUUCUCUUUCGGGAGUCGAUUUGCGGAACUGGGCCUGAUGUGGAUUCAGGGGCCCAUUGUAUGGAUAAACGUGUUGUCAGCUUCACUAUACCAUGAAUUUAACCCCAUCAUGCACCAGUGGUGGGUGGCUUAACUGCACCAAAUGGUAUCAUUACAAGGUGCUAAAUCUUGCUGAUAAAGUGAAGGCUAACUGGAAACGACCUUGCUUUCUGAUAGCAUAGCAGCGUAAUCUGCAUGAAAACUAUGCACUGACGACACGCUAAUCUAAUCAAGAGUCUGGUACUUGCACCUUUGCCUUCCUCUUUUUAAGAACUUGUAUCGAAAUCAAAGGAAUAACGGAACUAAAAGCAAACCAGCAUUUUACCUGAUGUAUUUAAGAAGAUCAAAUGUAGUGCCUGUGAAAAACUGUAUUAUAUCGCUCUCUGAAUAUCAAACCAGUUAACAAUUUGUAAUCGUUUCUGUUUUCUCAACACCACUAGCCUUUUCUGAUUAUAGCUGUUAAGUAACCACACUCUAUAAACUGCAUGAGCCUCCAUAACCAACUGAUAUAAACAUGGCUAGAUGAUCUAACUCAGCUCUGCUACCAGCUGCUACCAGUCAAAAUCCUCCAAGAUGCUUCUCCAAUUCAUUCCAUUUACUUGCUCCCAACCAAUUUCAUCAUAGUAUCAUUGCAUAGUGAAGUCAAGGAAGAGAUAUACGUCUAGAAAAAAAUGACGUCCACCUAAAUUCUGGUCCAUGUCCUGUUGUAGCCCUCAGUAUCUCCAUUAUCUCCAACAACAAUCUUGAAGGUCUGUGUUUCCUCGUGUUCAAACACUCGACAAUCGAUACUCAGUGGAACUGGCGUCUUCUUGCUGUAGAUACAAUUCACAAGAUCUCUGGAGUUCUGAAGUUAAAUACAAAAGGCUCUUUGAUGGGGAUGAGAAAAGUGAAGAACGACUCUGAUUCCUUAAUGGUUCCUUUAACGAUUCUAUAAGUGGUUUUAGGGAAUAGAUAUUUGGAAAAAAGAAAUGCAAUUCCAUUGCCAAAUUAUAGAAUUUCGAAAAUAAAUGUUUUGUUUAAUAAGUAAAUGCAAUAUAAUAAUUGAGCUUAGCUACGAACAACACAAUAAUACUUCAUAUAAAAAAAUGGGAUUACAUUCAAGUCACUAUGUUUUUGUUUGUUUGUUUGUUUUUUUAUAAAAUAUUACUGAUAAAAUUUGUUUUUAACCACAAAUUGUCAUUGAAACAACCAGUCAGCAACUACAGUACACCACAGUCAAUGUACACUAUUUGCGCUGUUUUGGUUCACUGAAGAGAUCUGACUCAUUGGAGUUAUUCUUUUAGGAAUCGGACUACACUGAUGUUGAGCUCUGUAUUUUUCAUUCAUUAAAAGACAUGACUCAAAGAGUCGUUCGUUCGAUAAUCAGAGUACACUUUUUGGGCUUUACUAAAAAGAACUGAUUCAAAAAAGUAUCUUUUGGGAAUCGGACUACACUGGUCGUGCUAAAUAUUUUUGAUUCAAGCCCUGGUUUGAAAAAUCAUUUGUUCGGGAGUCAAAUUCCACGAGAUGCGCUAUGUUUUUGAUUCACUAAAAAGAAUCGAUUUACAUUCAGAAUUUAGAAGUGGUGUUACAGUGUCACCGAAUAAGUAGUGCAGGAACCUCUCAAAGUACUAUUUUUUUGUCGGCAGAAGAAUGUACGCGUGAGAAAAGUUUUAGGAGGUUCUCAAAAGAGAUGUUUGACUUCGAGCCAACAAAAGGGUAGGAUUCAAAUAUCGAGUGUGGACUUUAAAAUAAUAGUUUGCAUACCAGGACCAUCAAAUCCAACCCCAAGGAAAAGAGGUCUUCUAGCAAUCAAUAAUAUCCAUAAACCGAAACAUACAGCAAAUGGUUAACAUUAAAGUGUUUCCUCUUUGUUUAUACUGAUUAUUAAAUAUCAUAAGGACAUGUUGUACCACAUUUUUUGGAAAUAGAUAUGCUUGUGCGUAUAGACAGAGCAUGUUCAACAAAGUUCUGCUAGACCCCUUCUGUUGAAAAUUAACCAGCACUGCAGCCGUAAUCGUAAAGAGGACAAUCGCGGUGGUUAGCGUGAACGAUUAAACAUGAAUCUCUGGCGUGAUGUUACAAGACCCCUUCAACCAGCUCCACCACUCCAAAUCUUCAUGCCCAUUAUCAUCCUUCAUAUAUCAAACCCCAUUUCGUGAGAAAACGUAACUAUUUUACAAAGCGGCGAUUUUAUGAAAAAGUACGCAAGACGGUUCAGCCGAGGAAGUAGGCAGGUUGUGCGAAAAUGUACAACCGUCCCAAUUUGCGGAAGCGUAAAAUAGUUACGAAUUGGUAUCUCAUACAGCUCCAUCUCACGUCGCAGAAUCACUGUAUACAUACUUACGUUUUAGAUACAAUCUAAAAAAAGAAAAUACAAAAAAAAAUAAUAAAACCUUGUGCCUAUAAUACAUUUCCUGAAGAAAACUUCACGUUGUAUUGGUACCAGCUCCAUAACUAGUUCCACGGAGCUUCUGUAUUUGAGCUGUGAAUGACUUUGUUUGCUUUUCGGGUUCUUAUUCUGAACUUUUUCUCCUUGUUUUUUCUGUGUGUAGUGACAUUGCCCCUUUCUCUUGGAGCCAUUAGUGUCCACCUCCAUUGACUCAAUUACUAAAAGCAAGAUGUGCAUUUCCUAUGCAACGAGAAAUGAGAGAAAAAAAGAAACCGAAAUAAAAGACGCUAAUGCUGUACACCUCUGUGUCUGGCUUCAUUCCUUCACAGGUUCCAACUCAUCGCCGUCGAAACCGCCUCGCUUCUCUUUAUACGAGGCGUCCAGAAUGAGUUACUGAUGUGGAUGGUUUGAUGAGUACAAAGUGUGCAGUGUGUUGGGAGGCUUUCAUUUCUAAACACAAAAAAAAAAUAUUUUUAGGUUACAUAACUCCUUGCUCACAUUUUAAAAUAAAAUUAUACAAUAAAAUAAAUAAUUUAUAUAAAUAGAUUAUUU
rnacentral:lncRNA from 1 species